CUAUGUGGCGCAGAUCACCCUUGUGUUCAAGUAAACGUUCGAGCUUCUCAAGGAUCUUUUCAAAAUUCUCCUGACACGUAUUCAGCUAAAUCACUUAUGAUGUCAUGCAUUCUGAAAAAAGAAUCACGAGUUGAUUGCUG